rnacentral:rRNA from 1 species
AUUGAACGCUGGCGGCAGGCCUAACACAUGCAAGUCGAGCGGAGCGGCGGACGGGCGAGUAAUGCCUAGGACUGUGCCCGUUCGUGGGGGAUAACGUCCGGAAACGGGCGCUAAUACCGCAUACUAUCAGAUGCGACUAGGUCGGAUUAGCUAGUAGGUGGUGUAAUGGCUCACCUGGGCGACGCUCCCUAGCUGGUCUGAGAGGAUGACGAGCCACACUGAAACUGGGACACGGUGCAGACUCCUACGGGAGGCAGCAGUGGGAAAUAUUGCACAAUGGGCGCAAGCCUGAUGCAGCCAUGCCGCGUGUGUGAAGAAGGCCUUAGGGUUGUAAAGCACUUACAGCGGGGAGGCGUUGCCCGCAGAAGAAGCACCGGCUAACUCCGUGCCAGCAGCCGCGGUAAUAC